ACCCUUGUCAGCUAGUUGCAUUUCAAGCUUUGGACCUAUGAUUUUGUCUUCCACAAAUUUUCUAAUAGAGAGUUGACAACAGAUAAAGAACUUAGUCCAACUGUGUUGAGUAUGAUUUUUGGACAUUGCUGCAGUAUUCAGGUUGUCAUAAUACAAUGUCUUGACAUCGUGUGUGACAUUGUAUGCAAUUAUCAGUAGUUUCGUCCAAUCUAGUUGAGAACAGCUGCUUCCAUCUGACAUAUUUUCAUCAUAAACACCAUUUUCA
rnacentral:lncRNA from 1 species